UCUAAAGAAGAAAUGGGGGUUCUUUCUCUGCCUUGCAUUGCGUGUGUCGCGUCUAGGUCACAAGGCACGGCCCUUGCGCCUCACAAUCGCGUGGCGGGAUGCAGGAAAGAGAGGCGUGGCGCGCUCACUGUCGUCGCUUCGUCUCCGGGAAGUGAUGGACACUCGGCUCGUCGCGAAAUUUCAGCUCGGGAGGGAUAUUUCAGGCUUUUCUCCAAUGUCAACGAAGCUACGUUGAAGCACGAGCCAGGGAGCCUAGUGAGUGCCAUUUUUCUCGUUGCGGGGACAACAAUUGGAGCUGGAGUUUUGGCUAUUCCUGCCGUAACAGAGGAGUCUGGGUUCGCAGCAUCAUCUCUAACUUGCAGCAUUUGCUGGCUAUACAUGGUUGCUACGGGAUUGCUAGUAGCAGAAGUUAACGUGAGCACUAUGUGUGAACUUGGCUCCGGUGGCGUAUCGAUUGUUUCCAUGGCUGAGAGAACUUUAGGAGCGAUUGGAGUUCGGUUUGCCAGCUUGGCAUACCUUUUCAUUCACUAUGCUUUGCUGGUGGCUUAUGUGGCUCGAUCUGCUGAUAUCAUAUCAAACGCCAGUGGUGCUCCUCUAUGGGCUAGUGCGCUACUCUUCACUGGAAUAUUUGGCGGGCUAUGCUACAGUGGGAGCCAGCGUAUAAUCGGGGCGUUUAAUGGAGCUUUGGUACUUGGAAUAAUUGCAAGUUUUAUCUCCCUUGUGGCUGUUUCAACAGGAUAUAUAGAGCCUGAAUUACUCCUGCGAGCCAAUUUUGCUGCAGUGCCUAGAAGCGUUCCUGUGAUUGCAUUGGCAUUUGUCUACCAGAAUGUAGUUCCUGUUAUUUGUACCAAUCUUGAAGGGGACCUCAAAAAGAUAAGGACCGCCAUUGUGGCCGGGACUGCCAUUCCCUUGGCAAUGUUUAUUGUAUGGGAUGCCGUUAUUCUUGGCAGCGUAUACCCGGGAGCCGGAAACUCAUCUCUUUCAGAUCCAUUGAUGCAAUUGCGAUCACAAAGCGGCAUCAUAAGCCCUCUGGUGGAAGUAUUCUCGCUGCUGGCCAUCACGACGUCUUAUAUCGGUUUUGUGCUUGGUCUGUCGGACUUUGUCGCCGAUUUGCUCAAGCUCCCGGGUGGCGGAUCCAGAAAACCUUUACCAUAUGCCGUGACUCUGCUUCCUCCAGCAGCACUCGCGUUACUAUCUCCGGACAUAUUUUUCAAAGCUUUGGAUUUUGCUGGUGCCUACGGCGUGCUAGUCUUGUUUGGUAUUUUGCCGGCAUCUAUGGCCUGGUCACAAAGAUACUCGACAUCUUCUUUACCUGCUGUUCCUCCUAUGGUUCCUGGAGGUCGUUUGGCACUGGGUGUGAUGAUAACAGGAGCUGGCUUCAUCAUUACUACACAGUUUUUGAGCACAUUCUCGUGAGCAAAAUGCUUUAUGAUCGAUCAAAGUAUCAGCUUUCCAAGCUCUAUCAGAUUACUUUACGAUAAGUCUAUCUUGAGAGGUCUUCUUCCUUGCACUGCUGGGAUGGAGCGCACUCGUUCAUGUCCCGGAAGCGAUGGAGGGGCUCUCCAAAUCCUAUCGUAAUUUUUCAGUUCGCCAAGCUACAUUCCCGGUUUGUGGACAAUUUUGUAGAAAACUUUCGGAUUUUCUGUAUGGCUGUUGUUUAGUUUAGCCACAGGAAUGGUGCGGAAGGUAUUACUACUGUGGAGCUGGAAGUAUGCGGACUGUCAGCUUGGCAUACCUUUCACAGUCAGGGGGUAUUUGAUGGAACUUGGAAAUAGCUAAAAGUUCUAUCGCUCUUGUGCAGGAUUUGUCACUCUUGCGAAGCCAAUUGUGCUGCUGCGUCCCUGCGAUUGCAUUCUACCAGUGCUCUCAAGCAAAAGCUUUCUCAUAUCCCGUGACACUCAAGAGCACUCUCUAGAUUUAUUUUUUUGGGAGCACUGCUUGUUAGUAAUUUUGCCUGGGGCCUCUUUGAAUUGCUAAACAACGACCAAAAUUUGUUGUGGGCUUGGAAGUAUCAGAUCUUCAUCAAAGCCGAGUUCUCUCAAAUCAAGAGCUUAUUCAAAAAUGUCUCAAUGUCAGUAGGCUGGAUUUUCCUAUUGCUGUUAUUCUGCAUAAAAGCUCGAAAGCUAUUCUCUGUCACUGCCGAGUCUAUAGACGUGACCGACAAUCCUAAGCUCCACAGGUAGUUGAGCAGCUGAAGCAUAACGUCCUGACGCUGUGGUCUUCUUCUAUAUAUCCGGAUGGCAAAAGUUCCUUCAACGUCGAGAGCAUUCACAGACAACUCAUCUCGAUCGUCACUGGUUGUAUUGCCUGUGAUCUAUUGCUCCUUGCAGCACAGAUAACUUAUCCUGCGAGCAAAGAAUUUCGGGCCAGGGAUGUCCAGCGAUGCCUCGGAAGGAGAUUGUGAGAAAAUGGAUGACGUCGAGGUUGAGGGAUGUUCCGUGGAUACUGGCAAUGCAACAGGAGCAGCAUACAGGAAUGUUCUUAUAGUCUGGAGCAAGGAGUCGGUCUCAAGAAUCUACAAGUUUCCGUGGAACCAAUUUCCAGGACGCCAUCCAGCAGCGGGAUGCACAGGAGGCUCUGGAUGAUUGUGGCCUAAAAUGCAGGAAAUCUCUUUGCUCGAGCACUGAGGUGUUCGUGACAUUCACGCCUGUGACCCAUACGUGCUCGCGUCUGAUCGCUGCUAUACCGGCAUGCCUGAAAGGACUUGUAAGCUGUGUAGAACAGCGCUUGCUGGAAACUGCAAAUCAAAGGAACGCCUUCAUCUCCGCAAGCGACUGCCAAACAAACAGAAUAGCGAAUGAUUUUUUAUAAGAUACUGUAGAAACUGACUAGCAACUCGAGGAACCUUUCCUGUUCAUACGAAAUGGUCGCGACCAUUCGUCACAGGAGCUCGAAGACCUGACUUGUUGGAUGGACACCUGAGACAAACAAGAAAACGAACCAGAGGCGAUGAACCAUUCUUGAGUUUCAUCCCUUGUGCC